GCGGGAGUAGCUCAGUUCGGCUAGAGCGUCAGCCUUCCAAGCUGAGGGUCGCGGGUUCGAAUCCCGUCUCCCGCU
rnacentral:tRNA from 1 species